rnacentral:sRNA from 1 species
UUGUGGAAAUCCUGGUGUUCCACCCAAAGGUGUAUUAUAUGGUACAAGAUUCGACGUCGGGGACAAGAUCCGCUACAGCUGUGUAACUGGAUACAUCCUUGAUGGCCACCCUCAGCUCACCUGCAUAGCCAAUUCAGUUAAUACAGCUUCGUGGGAUUUUCCUGUUCCUAUCUGUAGAGCUGAAGAUGCUUGUGGAGGAACAAUGAGAGGAUCCAGUGGCAUCAUAUCCAGCCCUAGUUUUCCUAAUGAGUACCAUAACAAUGCUGAUUGCACUUGGACCAUUGUAGCAGAGCCUGGGGACACAAUUUCACUCAUAUUUACUGAUUUUCAAAUGGAAGAGAAAUAUGAUUACUUAGAAAUAGAAGGUUCUGAGCCACCUACCAUAUGGUAAGUAAAUAGCUUCUAUUAACCUUGCAUUGAUGUUGUUGAAGCAAACUAAGGAACAAAGAACAACUGA